AGCAUGGCCCUUGCUCUGCGCCUCUUCCUCCUGCUCCUCCUGGCCGUGGCCCUGUCUACCAGGGCUGCCCAGGCUGCUCCUCUCCAAGUGUGGCGAGCAGAUGAGCAUACUAGGAAGGCUUCUUCAGCAGCUUGGCUUAAUGAAGAUUUCCAGUCUCUUAACCCUCCAGCAGGUGUGUCUGCAGGAAUGACUUUUCAGGCUCCUUUCCUGGUUGCUGCACAUAAGCCCCGCUCCCAUUGCAGGGGUCCUCCGAGAGGGAGGAACAAACCUAGAGGAGACAGCAAGUCCCUGGAGGCAUCCAAACAGAUGGACAGGAUCUGGAGUGACCUGGAGAGACAACGUGGUGGGUGCAUUUCCCUCAUGCUUCCCCUGG